rnacentral:misc_RNA from 1 species
GUUUUCACCUAUCUCAAUAGCCAACCUAAACCUUUUUGCGACAGUAAUUCCGGUUUCGACGAUUCUCUCACCGACCUCUGUGAGCCUUGUCCACUUAAUGGAGUAUGUCGUGAAGGCAAAUUAGAGUGUGCUCAUGGCUACCGGAGGCUUGGGAACUUGUGUGUUGAAGAUUCAAAUAUAAACGAAACAGCUAAAAAGCUUUCAAAGUUAGUAGAAGGUCUCCUUUGUGAAGAACAUGCUCAAUAUUCAUGCACUGGCACUGGCACUAUUUGGGUUCAAGGUAACCAAUUGUGGGAGAAGGUGAAUGAAUCUAAAAUAAUGGAUGAGUAUGGAUUGAACGAGGCUGUUUAUGCUCAUGCCAUGAAAAGAGCAAUGGAGGCACUUCGCAAGGUUUUAGAGACAAGACUGAAUGAUCAUGGAAUUGAAGAGCUGAAGUGUCCACCUUUGCUGGUCCUACAUUAUACACCAGUUUCCUGUCGCAUCCAGCGCUGGAUUCUUGAGCAUGCUUUGUUAUUGGUUCCAGCUUGUGCAUUGCUACUGGGAUGCGUUUUCACAUUGUUAAAACUCCGUCGGAGGUACCACUUGUCAGUUAAAGC